UACGUAGGGCGCAAGCGUUAUCCGGAAUUAUUGGGCGUAAAGAGCUCGUAGGCGGUUCAGUAAGUCGGGUGUGAAAUCCCUCGGCUCAACCAAGGAAGUGCAUCCAAAACUGCUGAGCUUGAGUACUUAAGAGGAUCGCGGAAUUCCCGGUGUAGAGGUGAAAUUCGUAGAUAUCGGGAGGAACACCAGUGGCGAAGGCGGCGAUCUGGGAAGAUACUGACGCUGAGGUGCGAAAGCGUGGGGAGCAAACAGGG
rnacentral:rRNA from 1 species